CCCUCCCCUAAAUCACUCCAAAAAAAACAAUCCCCAAUUCUACACAAGUGUUUCUACACUAACAAAGCAACAGCUCCUUAACGAAUUCCCAACUUUACACGAGCUCGUCUCUCGAGGUUAAAUGUUAUUACUUGGUAAGAUUCCGGACCUCGCCAAGUGUUUUGAAAACCCGCAACGCUCGCAAAGGUGCAUAGUGAGAAUAAUAAGUGAAGAGACAGACUUGUCCAAAACGCCCACCGCGAAGGUGCAUAGUGAGAAGAGUAAGUCAAGAGAUAGACUUGUUCAAAAAGAAACAGAAGAGAAUGCUUGGGGUUACACUCACGAAGGUGCAUAGUGAGAAGAGUAAGUCAAGAGACAGACUUGUUCAAAAAGAAACAAAAGAGAAUGCUUGGGGAGAUAGAAGUGUGAGAUAGUUCUCAAGCUAAGAAAGUUGUAAAAGCUAAGAACUAGCAAGUAAUCGUCCAGGAUUCCUCCACCAGGACUUGAAAUCGUCGAGGGAAAAAAAUCGGUUCCGAGGAAUCGUCGAUCCGGACUUGGAAUCGUCGAGAAAAGUUUACCGGGUCCGAGGAUUUGUCGACCAGGAGUGGAAAUCGUCGAGAAAAAUCUAUCGGGUCCGAGGAAUCGUCGACCAGGACGAGGAAUCGUCGACAGGGUCCGAGGAUUUGUCGACCAGGGGUUGAAAUCGUCGACCAGGUCCGAGACUUCAUCGACCGGGUCCGAGGAUUUGUCGACCAGGAGUGGAAAUCGUCGAGAAAAAUCUAUCGGGUCCGAGGAAUCGUCGAC
rnacentral:misc_RNA from 1 species